AUAACCAAGUUUUUUCUUAACAAUAAGACUGCAUUUACAAUGCAAAUCUUAAUGCACAGAUCAUAUUUUUUUGACUAUAUUCAUUUUUUGUUCUGAUCUUUUUAUAUUUACAUAAGACAUUAUUCAUAACUGAUAUCGGUGUUACAAUAAUUUGCAAAACUACAGUUAAUAUGAGUGUCAUGAUUUGCACUUGAGUUUUGUAUCGACUUAAGCCAGGGUCACUGCCAAUUUAGGCAUGUUUUAAUUAUGACACUUAAACAAUUGUAUAUGUACUUCGAUAAAGGUUUUUGCAAUCAUGGAAACAUAAGUGAAUCGCAGACAGCAUUCUUCUUUUACCAAUGUAAAAUGGCUGGAGUAGUGAUGUCACUAGCUAAAUUAAUUUUCAUUUGACCUCCCCCACAGAAAGACACAGCACAUCAUUAUAUCGUUGGCUCCGCCCACUGGUGUUCAGUCUAAAGUAGUAGUUGUUGACAAUCAUAAAGUUGUAAUAACAGUAAGAUUGUGAUGUCAGACAAACAUUGUGCUGUUGCUGGCUGUGGGAAAUUAGUGUCUUUGUAAGGGUCGCAAAUAAUUUGAAAAUAUUUAUGUUUCUAAAUAUGCCCCCCUACCAUGAACUAAACUGGACUGUUGCAGAGACCAAGUGUAGUAGGGUACACUACUAUGCAGAAUUCUGGCCUGGUGUUUGGUCCCCCCUUUCUCUGGCUUGUGUCUCCAUCAUCAUUACACUCUUGUCAGUGUAAUAGUAUCGUCGUCUGCAUACCAGGACUUUGUUACUCAGCUGUCCCUUCUCCUUCAAGCUACAUUUUUGUCAAGCUGCAACAAGUUGGAAUACAUAAUUAUUAACGUUUAAUGAUUUUGAUGUAUGAAAUAUGUAACAAAAGCAAAAAAUGUAUAGACAUUCUAUUAAGAAAUUACCUUUUUGUUGUUUGUUUACUGACCUUUCAACCAUAUUGCAUUUAUAAUUGAUCAUCAUACCUUUGGUCUACUGUUAACAGGCUACUGUAGAAAACAAAGUCAAACAAAAAAGAGAGAAAAAAUUAUAAAUGCUGAAUGUGUCUCAUCUUAAAUACAUUGUUGUUGUUUUUGUUUCAUUGAAUUUGGAUGUUUUGAUGAUUUAAGGAAAAUUUACGUAGCAUAUAUAUUGAUGUUUUAAAUCAGAGUUUGUUAAUGACACUUAAUCAUUAACAAACAUUUAAAAAGCUUUAUUACAAUACUAAUUGAUAAUAUUAAUGUAAUAAUCUUGUUUUGUAACACCCUAAAUCACUGAGCGCACAAACGCUACCCCUGUUACAAGCAUGAGUGAUUGACUUCAGGCACACAUGCGCAAACAUUGAAGUACCGCGAGAGUGAUUCAAAAGCCCACGAAACAGUGUAAUCACGCGGUACUGUGAUGUCAUACUGGUUAAGGCUAAGCCACGUGAAGCCUGACACAAGGGCUACACUAAUCUUUGGGCUGGAGUAGCCUGUGGCUUCGUGUCUCAUCGCGUUAAACGAUCGCAGAACGAUUUAUUUCUCUUUUUCACCUCGAUCUUUGGCCUCGUGUGAUUUACCAAAACCAACAUGUGAAGUUACAACGCUGACGAAGGAGUUUCAUCAGUAGAGUGUGUCCUGGAAAACGUGUGCUCGGAAACAUGCAGAAUACAGUAUUUACAGAGCCGACCUUGAGGCACCCACUGAUGGAUAAUCUGUUUACCUAAAAACAGCCCACCACAAUCCAUGUUUACCAGCUGUGAAAGUGCAGGCCAAAAAUCUUCCUUCACCUGUGGGCCUCUACCCACAUGUAGAUAAGCAUUUCAGGAGAAACCUGCCUGUGAUCUGCUAAGAUGCACAGAUUCAACUUUGGCCCAUUGUCAUCCCAACACCUCAUCUGCCAUCAGUUUCGUUUAGUGUCGGUCUAUUGCAAAAGUUCUUAUAAACUUUAAAUGAGACUUUGUGUUAAGCAGGGGUUUCCAAACUUUUCAUUCCACAACAUAUUAAGCCCAGGAUACACAGCAGGAUUUUUGCAAUCCAAUAAGACCUUAUCACACUGUGUGACAAGGAUUGUUUAAACUUCAGCAGUAGACUGUCGAUGAAGACACCUAUUGCAUCUGAAGCUGCGACAUCUGUCAUCAACAUGCGCUAGUGGUACACAAAUACAGGUAUUCAGGUCGUAGAAGCAAACACAUUGUUGAUGUGCGUUGAUCAUGCUGAACUUCUUACACUGUCAUAAAACUAUCGUAGGUGUCUUUGGUCCCAGGACUGGGAAAACAGACGUCUUUAAACCUCUCACACUGUAUGAGAUAGGACCACCAAUUAAGAGCCACGAUCACAGAAAUCUCCACAAUUGUUUCACGAUUGGUAAUCUUUCAUCUGGGACAGCCAAAAAUCGUGCCAUGUAUUAUGGGCUUUAGACAGGUGUAAUCUUAUAGUAUAUCAAAACCAUUGCUAAUAAUUAAUUGGACAAACCAUUACUACAAUGCAACACUCACUAUCUUACGGUGCGACCCACAAGUGGGUCUUCACCCACAGUUUAAAAACCCUGAGUAUGAGAAAGAGUAUGUUGUAUUGUAAUUAAAGUCACAUCUAAGUGUUAUGGAACAGUUUGUCAUUAUAUUCACAGUAUUACAUGGUUCUUUCAGCGGUUACUACGUUACAGUGCUCUUAAAGUGUCCUGAUCAGCUUUGGGUCUUGUGAAGUAAUGUAAUGAGAACGUGAUCAAUAGCUUUGCAGUAUUUUGUUACACUGUGGCUGUAAUCAUAUUAACACAUAGGUUAAACAUUUUAUUCAAAUUUGGUAAACAAACUAGUCAAUAUAAUUCAUGCUGUGAUGCUGGAUUAAACCUGGUCAAAUGAU